CCUACGGGAGGCAGCAGUGGGGAAUAUUGGACAAUGGGCGGAACCCUGAUCCAGCGACGCCGCGUGAGUGAAGAAGGCCCUCGGUAUGUAAAGCUCUAUCAGCAGGGAAGAAGAAAUGACGGUACCUGAGUAAGCAGCCCCGGCUAACUACAUGCCAGCAGCCGCGCUAAUACGGAGGGGGCAGGCGUUCUCCGGAAUUACUGGGGGUCAAGGGCGCGUAGACGGUGAUGUAAGUCUGGAGUGAAAGGCGGGGGCCCAACCCCCGGACUGCGCUGGAAACUAGGUGACUGGAGUGGGCGAGAGGUAGGCGGAAUGCGUGGUGUAGCGGUGAAAUGCAUAGAUAUCACGCAGAACUCCGAUUGCGAAGGCAGCAUACCGGAGCCCGACUGACGCUGAGGCACGAAAGCGUGGGUAUCGAACAGGAUUAGAUACCCGGGUAGUC
rnacentral:rRNA from 1 species